rnacentral:rRNA from 1 species
GACGAACGCUGGCGGCGUGCUUAACACAUGCAAGUCGAACGGAAAGGCCCAGCUUGCUGGGUGCUCGAGUGGCGAACGGGUGAGUAACACGUGGGUGAUCUGCCCCUAACUUCGGGAUAAGCUUGGGAAACUGGGUCUAAUACCGGAUAGGACAAUCGUUUAGUGUCGGUUGUGGAAAGUUUUUUCGGUUAGGGAUGAGCCCGCGGCCUAUCAGCUUGUUGGUGGGGUAAUGGCCUACCAAGCCGUCGACGGGUAGCCGGCCUGAGAGGGUGGACGGCCACAUUGGGACUGAGAUACGGCCCAGACUCCUACGGGAGGCAGCAGUGGGGAAUAUUGCACAAUGGGCGCAAGCCUGAUGCAGCGACGCCGCGUGGGGGAUGACGGCCUUCGGGUUGUAAACCUCUUUCGACAGGGACGAAGCUUUGGUGACGGUACCUGUAUAAGAAGCACCGGCUAACUACGUG